rnacentral:rRNA from 1 species
UGAACGCUAGCUACAGGCUUAACACAUGCAAGUCGAGGGGCAGCAUGGUCUUAGCUUGCUAAGGCCGAUGGCGACCGGCGCACGGGCGAGUAACACGUAUCCAACCUGCCGUCUACUCUUGGACAGCCUUCUGAAAGGAAGAUUAAUACAAGAUGGCAUCAUGAGUCCGCAUGUUCACAUGAUUAAAGGUGUUCCGGUAGACGAUGGGGAUGCGUUCCAUUAGAUAGUAGGCGGGGUAACGGCCCACCUAGUCUUCGAUGGAUAGGGGUUCUGAGAGGAAGGUCCCCCACAUUGGAACUGAGACACGGUCCAAACUCCUACGGGAGGCAGCAGUGAGGAAUAUUGGUCAAUGGGCGAGAGCCUGAACCAGCCAAGUAGCGUGAAGGAUGACUGCCCUAUGGGUUGUAAACCUCUUUUAUAAAGGAAUAAAGUCGGGUAUGCAUACCCGUUUGCAUGUACUUUAUGAAUAAGGAUCGGCUAACUCCGUGCCAGCAGCCGCGGUAAUACGGAGGAUCCGAGCGUUAUCCGGAUUUAUUGGGUUUAAAGGGAGCGUAGAUGGAUGUUUAAGUCAGUUGUGAAAGUUUGCGGCUCAACCGUAAAAUUGCAGUUGAUACUGGAUAUCUUGAGUGCAGUUGAGGCAGGCGGAAUUCGUGGUGUAGCGGUGAAAUGCUUAGAUAUCACGAAGAACUCCGAUUGCGAAGGCAGCCUGCUAAGCUGCAACUGACAUUGAGGCUCGAAAGUGUGGGUAUCAAACAGGAUUAGAUACCCUGGUAGUCCACACGGUAAACGAUGAAUACUCGCUGUUUGCGAUAUACGGCAAGCGGCCAAGCGAAAGCGUUAAGUAUUCCACCCUGGGGAGUACGCCAGCAACGGUGAAACUCAAAGGAAA